GCCAGGCACAGUGGCGCAUGCCUGUAAUCCUGGCAACUGGGGAGACUGAGGCAGGAGGAUUGCAAGUUUGAGGCUAGCCUCAGCAACUUUUCAAGACUUUGUCUCAA
rnacentral:sRNA from 1 species